GGGGGUAUAGGCUAACCUGGUAGACUGGCGGGCUCCAGACCCGCUGGUGCGAGUUCAAAUCUCGCUGCCCCCA
rnacentral:tRNA from 1 species